UACAGAGGGUGCAAGCGCUAAUCGGAAUUACUGGGCGUAAAGGGCUCGUAGGCGGUUUGUCGCGUCGGGAGUGAAAACCUUGGGCUUAACUCAGGGCUUGCUUUCGAUACGGGCAGACUAGAGGUAUGCAGGGGAGAACGGAAUUCCUGGUGUAGCGGUGAAAUGCGCAGAUAUCAGGAGGAACACCGGUGGCGAAGGCGGUUCUCUGGGCAUGAUCUGACGCUGAGGAGCGAAAGUGUGGGGAGCGAACAGG
rnacentral:rRNA from 1 species